AGAAGUUAAAAGCUGAACCGGAAGCUCUCUUUCUCACAGUAUGAAUGAUCUGCGUGGGUGCUGUGUGAGAGUAUGGUGAAUGCUUGUUUGAGCGAAUGUGCGGUGUUUGAGUGUGAAUGUUUCUUUAAACCUACACAGUGAUCUUAUUUGAUCUGAUCUGAGUCUGGCUCUGCUCCGAUCAGAGGUGAUAAGAAAAUUGCUCUCGAGCCUCGGUGGCGGUGAGAAGCCGGCAGGAUGUUUACCUUCAGGGCCUCCACGCUUCGUGCUGUGGUCAGAGGUGAUGAAUUGAUCAGAUAUACUAGUUCUGGCUGAGCUUGGGUCAAUCUCAAGCUUCACAAUGGACUCUGAGUAUAGAGGCGAUUCUGAUCUUACCACAACUGACGAGUUUUGGAGAGCCCUGGGUGUUUUUUUUUUCACUGAUGACUAUUGUUUGUAUUGCUGAGGCCUUGUUUGUACACGUGAUCCCGAUUGGCAAAGCGCGCGCAAAGGUGAACGAUGUAACAUUAGGAGCCUGAUAGGCUGUGGUUGUUAUGGAGAGAUUUACUGGAGUUACAGUCUCUCAAAAACACUGUUACAUCAGUGAAACCUUUGUUUUAUUUGAGAAGGGCCGAUUUGACUGCUUUUAUGUCUGAGUAGACCACAGAAGCCUGGGUCCUGACCAACAUCCACACAGCCUGGACAUCUCAUGCCUGCCUACAUUAUACUGAGGAGGCCACAGACUGUUGAAAACAAAGAGUUUGAUAUCAUAUCUCUUGUUGAUCAUCAGUCCAGACAAAGAGGACAUUUAUAGCUGCCACAACUCUAAGAAUACUGAUGAGUAUGAUGAAAAAUGUUUUAAUAAAGAAUAGAAAAAUGUUAAACUGUAA